CCCACUCUCUCCCUAUGAUAAUGUCUGCCCUCUCUUCUCUCUAGAACAUUCUGGUUCUCUCUCUCUCAUCUUCGAUGAAGUCACCGCCUCUCCGGCCACAUCCAUCCUCACUUCUCUCGACCACCAGCCGCCAUGGAACUGUAUCUUUUUGAUUCUCUCUAGACUUGAGACUCCAGCGGCUUCCACCAUGCAAGAUGGUCACCGUUGGUCGUGCCUGGCUUGCCUCCGGCCUUUCCCGGAUAGUUUAUAGUCCGAUGGUACUACGAUUGCCAUUUUUAACGAGUUUCACAGCCAGGUUCCUUACCUCUCACUGAUUUAUUGUGAAAUCAUAAUUUCUACCUAAGUCUCUCAAUAUCCAUCUUUUAAAACAAUUCUUCAACUUAUUCUUUGCGUUUUACACUACUCUCUACUCAAUUUCUUCGAUUACUCAAUUUUUCAAGUUUCGUUCGUCUUUUCAAAACUAGAGUUUCUGAAAACCCUUUUCUUCAAAAUGCUUUCUGGUUUUAAGUGUUUGACCCUAUGUGUCUAUGAGUAUUUAUUGAUUUUACUGGGUUCUUCCUUAACCCUAACUAGCCUAUGCUAAAACCCCCAAUUUUUUUGAAACUUUGUUCGGAUUCUGCACUCGUCCGUGUUAUUUGAUACAUGCCUAUGUCCUGUGCUUUGAUUUAUGUGAUUACUUCUUCAGAAUUAGAGUAUCUUGUUAUCUUUGCCUUAGUAAUCCUCUAUUAAGGUUUCAUAUUUGAUUUAUAUUUGGCAUAUUUGUUUAUUCAUGGAAAUCUAGGUUAUUUUCCCUAAAUCUGUGUUGUUUCGAAUCCUUGAUUCACUGAAUUUUUAUGGUAAUACCUAUGUAUUGAUUCUCGAUUAUUUCCAUGUAUUUGCAACCGUAAUUAGUUUAUUACCUUUUUUUAUUAACCGUGUUACUUAUUGAUUCUUCACUAACGAUUUUCUUAAUUGAACCCUGUUGUAUCCACCCUUAAUUAUCUACCCUGUGCCAAAGUCUUACUUGAUAUCCUUUCCUUAAAUGUGUUAUGCUCUUUACCAUUGGCUAAUUACCCCUUAAUUAAGAGAAGAUUUGCUGAUUCCUUUUGCCUGACUGAUUCUGUGGUUUCCUUGAUUGAUGAAAACUGAUUUUCUUUACCUUAUUUUACUCUGCCCUCAAAUACUAUAUAUACUCUCCUCUCUUCUCACUUCCAGACACGAACAAAAUUCUAUUGCACAAAAACAUACUUAGUUUUCUCUCUUGUUUCUAUACAACCUCUCUCAUUUUCCUUGUGACUACUAAUUACUCAGUCGGCUUAAAGCCAAGACUAAGUGAUUUAGGUUGCUUUACUAUUUUACUAUUCUUUACAUCGCUACUUGCUUUGGUCUGCAUACUGAUGCUCACUUCUCUGCAUACUGAUGCUCUACUGCUCUACUCUAUCUCAUUCUUUGUUGGUAUACCCUCCAUUUGAUUUGUAGCUCUCAAAACAACAUGUUUUUGUACAUAUUGCACUUUGUUCUAUUUCUUCUAUGUUUUUUCUUGUGGUUCUAUUGUUCUUGUUGCUAUUAGCAUGUUCCUGUGUUUAGUUCUCUCUUCUCUUAGUCUAUCACACCAAUUGAUUUGCUCCCUUUCCCCCUAGCCUAGUACAUAACCAGCAUGUAGUCCUUUUUGCUUGAAAAAUGGCGUGAUUGUCUAAGUUUUUGAAAUAUUACUUGUCCCCAUCCCCCUUUCCCUUUCAGUGUUUACUUCUCUAAACUAUAUGUGAUGUUAUCACAUUGUUUUCUUUCAAAACGGCUAGAUCAUUCUCCUAAAUUGAUUUUGAACACAUUUCUCUUUAAAAAAAAAUCUAUGCAACUCCUAAAAUUUAGGUCCUACCCCCUUCGUGUAAGCAUUGCCUUGGGCACCUCUUGAGUACCCAUUGAACUUUGAUACACAAGACUGAUAAUUCCACUGCAAUUGUUUAAUGUUUGAUAUUGUUUGUGUGUUGUAUUGGCCAAGGACCCCAAUGGGCCCUUAGGGAGCUUUGCCGCACCCAAACCAUGGCAAAGGGAUAUGAAACUCGAAAGAAGUGAGGUUGGAAGAAUUGGGCCUAGAUGAAAGCUCCCUAUAGAGUAACUUCUUAUAUUUUCUUUCAUAAUGUAAUUCAGCUAUCAUGGUUUGUAAUAAAUUUUAAACAAAUGAUGUGUCUAUAGUGACAUAGGUGGGGAUUACGCAUGUUUUGGUUUAAUUGAUGGGUAUAUAAUAUGUCUAUAGGGCUUUACUUUACUUAUUUUUACAAUAGAAUCCAUGUGCAGGGCAUGUAUUUUCCAUAUAGAUAUCCUGUUUAGGCCCUUUACAUUCAGAUUAUUGUAAUGACCUUGUAAUCAAUUAGUAAGUAACAAACAACUUUUUCUUUUCUUAUAAAUUUGAUAUUGCAUUUAGAGAUCAUGUUUAGGAGCUUGUGUGCAUUAGAUGUCAUGUUACUUAGGGCUUUUGUUUCAUCUAGGUUGAAGUUACUGAGCGCCUCACCAGAUUUCUUAUUUAACAAUACUAAUUUGGGCUAAAUCGCGUCUUCUCUUUAAGAUUGGAUUAAUAUUCGUGUUCACCUUUGAUUAGGAAAUGAAUAAGACAUCUAGGCAAGCUAUAGGUCUAAUCAAUUAAUCACGCUUCUGAUUACUCAGCCUCUCUAACUUAUGAGCUACAACCCUUCUUUAAAAUGUAUUCUGUUAGAACUCCAGUCCCAUUUUGUUGCCUCUGUUUUUCUACUGAGUUGUUUACUUGUGCAUAAUCGUUCUGCUAGCAGGUUACUGAAAACCCUAUUACUGUAUUUUUUGAAGUAUGUUUUAAACUAUGUUUAUCUAUAUUUUUACUAACUCCUGAACUACUGCAAUCUCUUGUUUCUGAAAAUCAGACCUUCUUCAAGGCACUUAAUUUUUUAAAAACUUAAGGCUUCAUCUACAACUUAUCUUUUCCGCCCUUCCUGUCUUAAACUCUUCCGUUAGACCUUAAAUGUGUUUGAGACGUGCUAACUGCGUGUUUAUUUGUAGAGGGAUUUGUGAGCCUCUCAUUUGCUUCUUUUUAUUAUUCCCUUUAUGUUUAGUCCUAUUUGUUAUGAAUGGCACCUAGUAUUUUGUCAUUUAAACCUAACGGUUCAGCCUAGUCCUUACCUUGUAGCAGUAGUGGUCCUAAUAUCCUCUAGGACUUAUAGGAUGUGACAGAUAUAAC
rnacentral:lncRNA from 1 species